UAGUGCAUCGUGGACGCAGAAUUGAGUAUUUUAUCGUGUAUGUUUGAAAUGCAAGAUAUUUCAAUUAUUGAAACGUUAUUUAUUAAUUGCUUUUAUAUUUAGUGCGAAAUCAGUUGUAGAAAUUAGUUAAACAGUCAGCUGCAAAAGUAUUUAAUAUGAAUCCGGCAAAUAAGUCAUUUGCAGUAUAUAGGCCGUCUUCAAUGCAAAGUCUGUUUAUGUGUUGUGAUAAGUGAUUUAUCAUGCAAUAUUGAAAUUUCUAACGCACCAGUCAGAAAUAUAACCUCAAUUCAGUGAUAUAUGAAUAAAGAGAAAGAAAAUUACAGUGCUGAUAACCCCUACGAAAAUGGAUUUCAAACUAGGGAAAUUUGCUCCAAUAGAGAAGAUAAAUACAAAGUUAGAUA